rnacentral:rRNA from 1 species
GACGAACGCUGGCGGCGUGCUUAACACAUGCAAGUCGAACGAAGUGGCGAACGGGUGAGUAACGCGUAAUCAACCUGCCCUUCAGAGGGGGACAACAGUUGGAAACGACUGCUAAUACCGAAUACUGAAGGAGGGGAUUGCGUCGGAUUAGCUAGUUGGAGGGGGAACGGCCCACCAAGGCGAUGAUCAGUAGCCGGUCUGAGAGGAUUAACGGCCACAUUGGGACUGAGACACGGCCCAGACUCCUACGGGAGGCAGCAGUGGGGACUCUUCCGCAAUGGACUAAAGUCUGACGGAGCAACGCCGCGUGAGGGAUGACGGCUUUCGGGUUGUAAAGCUCUGUUAAUCGGGACGCGGUACCGGAAUAGAAAGCCACGGCUAACUACGUGCCAGCAGCCGCGGUAAUUC